CUGCAAAUUCUUAGGUAACUGUCGGUUUUUAGCACACUUUUUCAGGUUUUUAACUUCUGCAAAAUAUAAUAUUAACUGUUACAGAACCAAUUUGGAACUUCCUAUUUCAAUGCAUAACUUCUGAGACUAACCGGGACACCAAAAACGUGGAUUGAAGAGAAGGGGGGCCUCGUCUUUUUCACAGGUAAUUUCCCUCGGAAAUCUUGCUUGCCGGCCUCGUCUUCUUCCUUCAGGUUGGUCGUUUGUCGUCUAAGUGGCAAGGUGAGCUAAUUUUCUUUGUUCAAUCUAGGGUCAAGAUUCAUCUCCCCUUCACCAUUAUUCACUUUCUAUGCAAUUAGUCCAUUGAUCCAUAAGUUUGGCAUCCUCUGUUUGAGCAUUUAGCUUGCUUUUGCUGCCAAUUACAAAUUGUUUGCAUCUGAACACACUGGCCCAUUUCACCAAGGAAAUUCCCUUGCUAUGCUAAAGUAAACCUAUUAUCAAUUGCAUUUUUUAACAAAACUUAUCACUACUUACUAUACUCUACUGAUUUUCACUAAGAAAUAUUGGAGGCUAGGUAGUUGAAUUCAAAAUCGGUCCUAUAAGCCCUAUGUAGUUCCCAUUCACUUUAUAAAGGUAGACGAAGCAUGCAUGAACCAAUAUCAACUACAUGAUGCAGCCGCUCAACGCCCAAUCAAAUUUUGCUGCAUCACAAACCUUUAAAAAGACACUUCAUCGUUUAAUCCGCAUUUUUUGGGACUUGGUACAUCCGGAAAAUGAUUGACUCUGGACUUCUUAAGAAGGCUAUAGGAAGAGGGUUUAGAGAUCCUUCUUCGCAAAAUCAGGAAAUUUCAGGGAGAUUGUUUUAAAGGCACCUAGCUAUUUCAGUACUCUCUCUAAUAGUCAGUUCGGUGUCCUACUGCUCAGUCAAUUUUGUGAACCCACAGAAAAGCAGUACUUGUUUAUCGAAACUGAAUAAUGUAAUGAUCAUCCAGAAGUUCCUUUGGAGUUUCCAUGAUCAAUUUAACUUAUAAAACCUUUUUUGUUAUGUACUAUUCAUGUUUUUUGGGAAAACAGAAUAAUAUUAUGAGUAUCCAAAAGUACCUUUGGAGUUUCAUGAUCAAAUGAACUUAAAACUUCUUUCAUUAUGCACACUCAUGUUUUUUUGGUCAGUACAUAUAAGAUCUUGCCGAAUAAUUUUCCAAAAUUUUCACCAAGCAACUGUUUUUUUCUUCAUGAUUGUGGGAAAGAGGAGCUCAGCUGCUAGGCCAUUCUAUUUGUGUACCAAUUCUAGAUUAUUCAUUAUGUUCUCUUUAUUGCUAAUGAUAAACGUCCUUCCAGUAUGAAAACCUUAAAUUUCGCCAUUCUAUUGGUGAUUUUUUGGUAUUUCAUUGCAGGAGACACCAAAUGUAGAGUCGUCAUAUCUAACUUUUACUUUGACAUGGCUGGGUGUUCGUCUUCUACAUAUCUGGUUUAUGCUCUAUUGUCUACUUACCAACAAGAAGAUAAGUUGAAUGCUUCACCUUGGCAAAGUCCAGCUGUCAACGUUUUGGUUCUUCUGGAUCUUAAAUUGUUAAAUGGUUCUGUUGUGAUAUACUAUACUUAUUCAGACAGGGGGCACUAAUUUAUCUUCCAGCAGGUUAAUAAAAAUUUAUUUAGAAGGUCUCUUAUCUGAUUUCCAAAUUAGAUCCUUGCAACUAAACUGUUGAACUUGCUUGACAUCUCUUUGUUUACCGCAUCAAACCUUGAAGUCAUCUUAUUCUUAUGGUGUUUCUAGGCCAUGUUGUACUUCUGAACUAUUGCAUUACACAUGAUUCGGUGGUUGAUCUUAGUUGUCCAUGAAAAACUGUAGAGCAUGCACAGUAUUUUCUAACCAGGAACUUUUCCCAACUUAAGUAUUGAAACUUGAACUAAGAUUUUGUUCAUAAAUUGGAAAUAAGCAGGAAUUAACCAAUCUUGUUUGUAAUUACCACUCUGCAAAAUAAUGUAAAAAUCUACAUGCAGUCUAACACAAUUGCCUGUAAGCAAUGGAGCCAAAUAAAUUCAUUUUCCGAGCACCAAGAUGCUCAUGUCAGCUUCUAAGCCUGAUCUAUUUUAUGCAUGUGCACUACGUGUGACGGGAUUUUAUUGUUGUAUCAUCUGUGCUGCUUGUCUUCUCACUAAACUAAACCUAUUGUCAGAAAGGCACGUUAACAAAUACAACAGCCAGAUUAGUGCGCGCAAGCCCGCCUCAAGAGGCGCCACUGGGUGGCGCCCCAACCACUAGUCCUAGUCUAAACGGGGCCGGCCUUACUGGGCAGAGCCUAGCUUUCCAUCGCCGUGCUUGCACGCGCAUACGCACACACAGGUGUCGGCGACCGACCACAAUCAGCAGCAGCGAUGCAGCGCAUCAGGCAGCACGUAGGCAGAGAGCAGCGGUGGCGGCCUCGCAUAGCAGCAGCAAGAGGCAAAGCAGCGCAGUAGAAGGCAGCAGUAGCAAGCAGCGGCCAGCGCAGGAGCAGGCUGCGGCGGGUUGCAGGGGCGGCCGGGAGCGCGGCAACGCGGGGACGGGCGCGUGCGCCAACGCGCGGCCGGGCGCAAGGCUGGGCGCGACCAGGAGCGGCUGCAGGCGCGCUGCGAGGAGCAGAGGCGCGGGGAUGGGCAGGCGACCUUGCGCACGGACGCAAAGCGUCCGCCAUGGAGGCCAGGCUCGCGAGGACGACGAUAUGGCGACGGAUCGAGCAAGGAAAAGAGGGGUAUGGAGAGAGGAGCUCACAACGGGGCGGAUGGCGUUCUCGGGGAGGCCGGGGACGGGCCGGAGAGGCGAUGGUGACGGCGAGAUGCGGCGGUCAGAGGAAGAAGAGGAAGACAGCGUCGGCUACGUGGCUCCCCAUACUGAUGAGGCGUCCUAAACGGAGGAAGUCGAGGGCGGUGGACCUCCUGGACGUACUCCUGCACGCCGAAGGGGCCGGUGGACGCGUCGACGACGGAGAGGCAACGGUCACCGCGGAUCUUCCUAGNNN
rnacentral:lncRNA from 1 species